rnacentral:rRNA from 1 species
UACGUAGGUGGCAAGCGUUAUCCGGAUUUAUUGGGCGUAAAGAGAACGCAGGCGGUCUUUUAAGUCUGAUGUGAAAGCCUUCGGCUUAACCGGAGUAGUGCAUUGGAAACUGGGAGACUAGAGUGCAGAAGAGGAGAGUGGAACUCCAUGUGUAGCGGUGAAAUGCGUAGAUAUAUGGAAGAACACCAGUGGCGAAAGCGGCUCUCUGGUCUGUAACUGACGCUGAGGUUCGAAAGCGUGGGUAGCAAACAGG